UACGUAGGGGGCAAGCGUUGUCCGGAAUCAUUGGGCGUAAAGCGCGCGUAGGCGGCCCGGUAAGUCCGCUGUAAAAGUCAAAGGCUUAACCUUUGAAUGUCAGUGGAUACUGCCGGGCUAGAGUCCGGAAGAGGCGAGUGGAACUCCUGGUGUAGCGGUGGAAUGCGCAGAUAUCAGGAAGAACACCGACGGCGAAGGCAGCUCGCUGGGACGGUACUGACGCUGAGGCGCGAAAGCGUGGGGAGCGAACAGG
rnacentral:rRNA from 1 species